GCUCCCUUAGUUUAAUUGGUUAAAGCGUUCCGCUCAUAACGGAGUUAGUACAGGUUCGAGUCCUGUAGGGAGUACCA
rnacentral:tRNA from 1 species